CGCUGGGGCCCAGUAUUGUCUUAAGGGCCGAAAAAAGAGGAAAGGGGGGAGGGUGGGGAACUGCCAAGUGACCGGCAGAGGAUAUAUAACAUUUUCUUUCACCAUCGACAAUCUUGCACAAUGUAUGAAACAGACGGUAUCGCCUGGACAGGAGCGUGAGGCCGCGGGCAAGGCCUGUCCAACCGAUGCCUUUUGCCUGCCACAGCUCCAUUUGGAUGGCCAGAGGGCAGCUUCACCUCAGCAAUCAUAAACCGAGCUCUUGAAAUUCAUCUCCACAACCUUCCCCAUCUCAGGAUGACAGCAGCUGCCCCCAACUCACAGGGUUCUCUAGGGGAUUAAAUGAGGUUGUGCUUAUAAAGCAGCAAACCACACCGCCUCCGAAAGUCAGCCAGCUGGGACAUACACGUUCAUGCACAUCAUUAUUAGUAUUUGUGAGUCUCUUGAGGGUAAGGCCUUGUGUCUGGUGUCCUGCUCACUGCAAGGCAGAAGCGGGGGGCUUGGCGAUCGCUUCCAGAACAAAUGGGCAGCCUGUUCUCCUGUGCAAAUGUGA